rnacentral:lncRNA from 1 species
UUUUUUUUUCCGUCAGGAAUCGAGUGGGGAGAGGGGAGACUGGGAGAGAUCUCGGCAGCUCGCCUGCUUGGGUCGGACCUGCUCUGCUGCUGGUGCUACAUGGUUGACUGGUUGGUCCAGUGGGGAGUCACUGAGGGGUGGGGCCGCAUGGUUGAAAUGGUGAAUUACUGCUUGUUACCAGUUACCACCGGGUACUGAACCCACAGGAAUCGAUCGUGUUACUGUGAAGUCUGGUACCACUGCUUACUUGCAGUAGAGUAGUUGUACAGAACGACCCAAAACAAAAACGUAGAUGUGCCAUUUCGUGCUCCCGUGGUCCAAGCUUUUCUUCUCUUGCUUGUUGUUAACCGAAAGUCAGGACGAGGUGACUUGUUUGGUGCAAUUAUGCCAAUGAUUAUCUUACAAAAAUUUGGUAACGUCCACCGAUUUUGUGAAGCAUUUAUUUGUUACCAACUUCGAUAGGGUUCCUUCUUCUAUUGCGGUGUCAUUCCUUUUCAUGCCAAAGCUUGACGAAGCCAUGAGCUACCCAGCUAACCAAAUAAUGGCAUUGCCAAACUUUGGUGAGGUCUAGUUGAGCAAAUUUAUCGCCACAUCAAAACAGUCCCUAGUUUACAACAUUUUUCGUUUAUAUGGUCAGAUGAAUUAAAUAUCUUCUUUUCUUGCCGUAAUCGCAGCACCAAUUUAUUUUCUCCUAGGUCCAGGAUCAUCGCAAUUGGCAUCUUGAGGCGAGUUCCGUUCAAACUAAACAUCCUAUAGAAGUUUUGCUCGAUCAUAUCCUCCUACCGUGUGUGUGGCUUGUGGUUUUAUUGUGCGAGGCCCAGGAAGAUUCCUUUAGACGUCAAAUGAUUUGAUUGCUUGUUAAUGUUAUUUGAGUUCAAAAUUGGUAACCUGGGGCAUUGUUAGCUGUCGGCGGUGAUCUCUGCUUCCAUGACAACAAGAACACGAAUUAACACGCCAAGUUUAGGUAACGCAUCAUUCAACUCAAAUUGUAGCGGCAAAGCCAAAUAAUCCACCGAAUUGGCAACAACUGAGGAGAUUUUAGACAAAUGCAAGUUCACCAGUUGGAUCGCAAGAACCGAUCCCCUCGCCUCCAAGAACAAGAGCAAGAUUGAGAUCUACUAAAAAAACCCUAGACCUCGGCUCACCAGCUCGAUAGAUCCUCUGACGAAGUAGAGGAACAGCAGCGACCCUCUAGUUGGAGCCCACGAUCCAGCCCACGGUCGUCGACAACGCGCCCCGGGCCGCCACCGCCGCCGCCGCAGUCGCAGUCGAACUCCCGUCGGGAGCCGCCGCCG